GGGAUCGUGGCGCAGUUGGCUAGCGCGUAGGUCUCAUAAUCACAUAUGUGCCUAUAUCCUAAGGUCGUGAGUUCGAGCCUCACCGAUCCCA
rnacentral:tRNA from 1 species